CGCGGGCCUCCUGCAAGACAAUGGCCACGACCUGACGCGCGAGCGCCAGCCCCAGCCCGGGAGUCACGCCGCUGGCGCUUGACGCACGCGGAGACCCGGGGGCCGUGCCCCAGCUUUGUGGAACCUGAGGGCGGCUCGGGUCAGGUCGGUCCCCGCGGGAGGACAGGCGCGACCCGUCCCUCAGGACCGACGGCGUGUGGCUGCGGGGGCAUGGGGUGCCCCUCUCGGCCCGGUCGCUCCAGCGAGGGGACGCUGAGCCCCAGCUUUUAAAGGCUUCAUAUUCCUGACAAAUGGAGAUCCACUGACAUGAAGAAAUUCUCAAGCAACUAGGCAACUGGGAUUGUGCAGGGGCUUGCCCCUGAUCCUAUAGUAAAAGGUCCAGCCCUCACUAGCUGAAGCUUUUUAUAGUCUUCAACAACAACCAGUCCCUACAUUUAAGAAGGUUAAUAACUGAGACAGCCUUCCUGGUGGAUCCAUCAUUUGGCCCAGCUUGUAGAAAGAUUCCCAACUAGCUCUAAUUAGUUCCAUCUUAUUUGGAGGCAGAGGUAUUCCUCAUCAUACCCAUAUCCUCAUAUAAAUUGUCCAGUGCCCUAGGUACCAGGGAGAAAGAAGACGAAGAAGGACAUAUACCAGAAGCACAUUAAUAGGCUGCUGAAAAACUCUGCCACACUUUCAGAUGACAGGUCACCUACAGAUAAAUGAUUCAAGGAUCAACCAAGUUCUGAAGUUUUUUUUUGUUUUUUUUUUUUGGGAUAGAGUCUCACUGUGUCACCCAGGCUGGAGUGCAGUGGCGUGAUCUCAGCUCACUGCAACCUCUGCCUCCCGAGUUCAAGUGAUUCUCCUGCCUCAGCCUCCCAAGUAGCUGGGAUUAUAGGUGCCUGCCACCAGGCCUGGCUAAUUAUUUUUUGUAUUUUUAGUAGAAACAUAGUUUCACUAUGUUGGCCAGGCUGGUCUUGAACUCCUGACCUUGUGAUCCACCCGCCUCAGCCUCCCAAAGUGCUGGGAUACAGGUGUGAGCCACCAUGCCCGGCCAGUUCUUAAUACUGCCAGGAGUGCUUUAGAAGGCUGGGAAUAUGGGGCGAAAGAUUAGACACCCAAGCUGUUGAAAACCACACAGAGUUUCAGUAAAUAUAUGCACAAUUUGAAAAAUAUAUUUGCAAAAAUCUAGGUGUCUCCGGUCUAGUCCUUCCUAUUAAUCAAAUAAAUUACCGAGCUUCAUGGCCCAGUCUAUGAUCCUAGUUCUGACCGCUGCUGCCCGUAAAGGCCUCAAUGAAUUCCUCUCUGAGCUUCCAGACUUCCUUGGCUGGUGACUUGUUCCUCUUGGGACAGCUUUUGCUUGAGCUGAGCAGCCUGGCCCCCAGCUGUGCAGGGCCCUCUCUCCGGUGAGAGGAAACGCUUUCAGCUUAGUCUGUUAACACAAACAUUCAAAAGCAAACAUUCAAAAGCCACAGAUCAUGUUCGCAUAAAUAAAAUAGGAUUGAGAAAAGCUUUGCCCCAAGAAACCAAAGGGGUGUUUAAAAAACAGCUCUUGCUUUCCAAGUAGGCAGGCAGCAAAGCCACAGCAAUUCCAAAGGUUUGUGUGCUUGGUAGAGCUGGGUGGCUGCAGCCGCAGGCCUUUGAAGAGGAAAUGCCAUCCCUGGUACAGGCAGGCGGCCAACCCAUGAGUCCUGAAAGUACCAGAGAGAAGCAGAAAGCAGGGGAGCACAGUUAGGAAGUGAAAAGGGAGAGGAAGGCACCAAGGAGAUAAAUGAGGAGACUCUUCUUAUCUAGAGUUCCCACCCCAGACCUAAGAGCUACAGGACAGAGGAACUCACUGUGCCUGACAGAGCUGGGGCCUGAAAUAGAAAAAGAUGAUUCUAAAAUCUGAUGGAACCACCAAGGAGCUUGAGUGGCCAAAGCAAAAAGAACAAGCUGAAGGCAUCACACCACCCAACUUCAAAAUAUAUUACAAAGCUAUAGUAAUCAAAACAGCAUUGUUCUCCAUAAAAAGACACAUAGACCAAAGGAACAGAUUAGAUCCCAGAAAUAAACCCAUGCAACUAUCUUUGACAAGGCUACCAAGACAUAAUGAGGAAAAAAUAAUCUCUUCAAUAAAUGAUGCUGGGAAAACUGUAUACCCACAUGCAGAAUGAAAUUGGUCCUUGAUGUUUUAUGUGACUGAAGCAGUUUGAAAAGGAGAGUGAAUGAGAGAGUAAGCAAGCUGUAAAAUUAGGUUGGGACCAAGUCAGGGGUUACCAAAUAUCAGGCUGAGCUUUGGUACUUUAUUUGGCAAGAAAAUAAAAC
rnacentral:lncRNA from 1 species